UUGUCCUCCAGGUCCCACAGGUCGGUUCAUCAAAGCGGUGUUCUGCAGCAGUCUGAUGUUUGUUCUGGCUCACAUCUGCUUCCAGACUGUUCUAUACACAUAUCCCCCCCUCAACAUCGCCAUAGGGGAUAACUGCUCACAAUGGGACGUCAUAAGCAGACAUAUAGGACUGUCCAGGCUUCCGUUGGAUGAUCCUUGGAGUAUGAUACGUCUUCUGUCUCCUGACCUGGGUGUGUGUGUGGUUGCCUUGGUAACAAUGGUCCUGUGCAGUAGAUUGGUCAGCAACCGGGAAAUGGUGGCUGCUGCCAACAUCACAUCGCUUGAAGACUAUACAACAGAAAAAAACACAGUUGGUGAUG